rnacentral:rRNA from 1 species
CUAUGGGGGGCAGCAGUGGGGAAUAUUGGACAAUGGGGGAAACCCUGAUCCAGCAAUGCCGCGUGUGUGAAGAAGGCCUGCGGGUUGUAAAGCACUUUCGGUUGGGAGGACUGCUUCUAGCACUAAUAUUGUUGGAAGUUGACGUUACCUUCAGAAGAAGCACCGGCUAACUCCGUGCCAGCAGCCGCGGUAAUACGGAGGGUGCAAGCGUUUAUCGGAAUUACUGGGCGUAAAGCGCGCGUAGGCGGCUAGAUCAGUCGGGUGUGAAAGCCCCGGGCUUAACCUGGGAACUGCAUCCGAUACUGUCUAGCUUGAGUACAGGAGAGGAGAGUGGAAUUCCACAUGUAGCGGUGAAAUGCGUAGAUAUGUGGAGGAACACCAAUGGCGAAGGCAGCUCUCUGGCCUGAUACUGACGCUGAGGUGCGAAAGCGUGGGGAGCAAACAGGAUUAGAUACCCCCGUAGUC